rnacentral:tRNA from 1 species
GGGGGUAUAGCUCAGUUGGUAGAGCACUGCCUUUGCAAGGCAGUGGUCGGGGAUUCGAGUUCCCCUGCCUCCA